rnacentral:lncRNA from 1 species
CAUGACAGACGGCCCUCCAACAUCUGCUUAAAAACCUCCAGGGAAGGAGAGUCUACAACCUCCUGAGGGAGACCGUUCCCACUGUCAGAAAGUUUUUCCUGAUGUUUAGUCGGAAUCUCCUUUCUUGUUAUUUGAAUCCAUUGGUUUGAGUCCAACCCUCCAGAGCAGCAGAAAACAAGCUUGCUCCUUCUUCUAUGGGACAGCCCUUGAGAUAUUUGAUUCAUAUCUCCUCUCAGACUCCUUUUUUUCCAGGCUAAACAUACCCAGCUCCUUCAACUCUUCCUCAUAAGGCUUGGUUGCCCUCCUCUGCACACAUUGCAGCUUGUCAACAUCCUUCUUAAAUUUCAUCACCCAGAACUGGACACAGUAUUCCAGGUGUGGUCUGAACAAGGCAGAAUAGAGUGGUAUUAUUACUUCCCUUGAUCUAGACACAAUAUACUUUUGUUGAUGCAGACAGUUGGCUGAGAUUAAACUGUACAAAAGCCUUAGGAAAGGGGAAGCUAUGCAGAGCAGACUACAGAUUGGAAAACUGAUGUAAGGACAUCCCAGGAAGCAAGGUGCAGAGGUGGCAGAAGGCCUUGAGGCAGGAAGCGAAACUUCACACUGCAGCCAAUGUCCCAAGAGAAGCGCCCUGUGCCAUUUUCGAAGGAUCCUUCCUGAAAUACUGGCUGCGUGCUAUUGCAAAUGAAACACCAAGAUGAUCAAGCACCUUUUGAUUUAAAGUACAGCUUGUACAAAAACAUAGCAAACAACUGUUGGAAGUGUGGGGAAAGUAAUGGAGACAUGUAGUGGACAUGUAGAAAGAUUAGAGAAUUUUAGUGCCUUGUAUAUGAUGAGCUGGAAAAAAACUUUGGGUUAACCUUUCUAAAAAAGCCCGAGGCUUUUCUGCUAAUCAUUCUCGGCAACGAUAUUCUGAAAAAUUUGAGAGAAUUUUUUCUGUAUGCCACGGCUGCAGCUCGAACAUUGAUAGCAAUGAACUGGAAAGGCGGAAAUGUUUCAGCUAUAACAGACUAGCAAAUAAGUCAAAAGGUACUAACUGUUGUAAGAAUGUAUUAGAAGGAAUAUAAAGAAUAACUCAAUAAUGAUAGGUAUAUUCAUUACUAGAAUAAGGCUAUACACCAGGAAAUGAUAGGAAGUCCAACUACACCUACUUCUUUUUCUGGUUUUUUCUUUCUUUAACUCAUGUUAAUAAAGAGAUAAGACAACAAAAGAUAGUAAAAUAUGAAUCAGUUUAUUUUAUAAACAGAAUACUACUUGUAUAUGGUUUUUGCUUACAUGGAUUAUAUAUAUGUUUACUCAAGAAGAUGUACAAUACAUAUGUAUAUGUAUGUUAUAUGAGAUAUGCUAUAUGAAAUGUGUCAUAUGAUAUGAGAUUUUUAAUAAAGCAAAAAAUAAAAAAAUAAAGUACAGCUUGCUUGUAGGCCCAGAAAACGAUCUGCUGGUAAGGUCUCUCAAGUCACGGGACUGAAAAGUUACUCUGCUAUGGUUUGGGAUUGCCUGUGGCAGCCUUCCUCUUCUCAGCGCUAAAUUUGCAACUCUCCAAUUCUGUGAUUCUAUGAUUCUUAGCCACAGGACAGAGACAGAGGGGGGACAGUGGCAGGACAUCUUGAGUCUUUGCAAGCAUGCAUAUUGAAUGUUUUCAAAGCCCUCCAUCCUUUGCAAACAGUUGGUUGGAACACCAGUGGAGUUCGGUCCUUUCAUCAUGGCAAGCAGUGUGAUACUUACAUAGCCUGCAUCCAUCCCACUUCUCAUACAGUAGAGCAUUGAGAACUGAUGGCCCUGAGCAAAAAAAUCAGCUCCCUGAAGGUUACCAUCUGGCUCCGAAUUGCCAAGCCAGAGUCAAAUGGUGUGUAUAAAUUUCCUUGUGGCUUUGAGUGGAUACAAGAAACUGUGGUGAAAAUAACCAUUCUGCAAGUUUCUUAAUAACAUAAAAAAUAUAUCCAUUCUCCUCUUUUCUUGGCAGCAAAAAGUUUCAGAAACUUAAAGAGGAAAGGAGCUUUAAAAUUUGCCUUGAGGAAUGGUUUGGGGAGUGUUUUAUCUUUAGGCACAUUAAUACAAAAGGUACGUAAUAAGCAAGUUCUCAAUUUUUUGCAAUACCUGAAAAUUCAAGUUUAUUAUUCAAAAUAAUAUGUUUGUUUUUGUACUGAAUAAUUGCACCUUUUGAGGUUUUAAUGAUAACUCUGUUGGAGAACAGUGCCUACUAUCCAAAGUAUUCAGAGUGGUUUGAUUAACAGUGAUAAAAUAUUUUAAAUUAAAAUUGAGUGGAGAGUUGCUUACUGAGAUGACCAAUUCUUACAAUGGACAUCAUAUAUAUAUGUAUAUUCAAUGGGUAAGCUUUUAAUAAAAAAACUAUAACAUAUACAUUAUGCUGUAAGAAUAUACAGAUUGCAUAGUAAUUCAAUUGCUACAUGUUUGAAUGAUGCAUUGAGACUUCCUUCCACAUCUGAUGGGGCUGUGACAUCACCUAGCAAUAUGGAAAAUAUAUUUUAUUAUAUGUUAAAGACAUUAUAGUUAAAGAGAUCCCAUUGAUACCUAUAAAUAUUUUAUGUGAAGCCUUAUGUUAGAUCUGAACACAGGCAGUUAUUGGCUAAUUCAUUAAUUAUAGGUAGGAUUUUAUUACUAAAUAUUAGGAACAAGACCAUUUGCCAAGUCCUGAGAUCUGGAAAUGAAAGAAUUGGAAGAUGGUGUUGAUUUGUAAUAGCACAAUCCUAACCAUGUCUUCUCAGAAGUAAAUCCUACUGAGUGGAGCUUCCUCCUAGGUAGGUAAGGCUAGGAUUGUAGCCGUAGUUGACCUGUUUUAAAUAUCUCCGGGGUGGAAAUAUUAAUUUAAACCAGGGUUUGUUAACACAAUAGAACCCAUUUAUACAAUACUUGAACAAGACUGUACCAUGGUGACCUACUCAUCUAGUGAUACUGGCUAUGGUCUGAGAUAGAUGCUGAAUAUUUUUCUCAUUUUCUUUCUCAGUUUGGGCUGUAGUGCUUUUUGUUCAUUUAGUUUCUCUUGUUUGUACAGUAAUGACUACAGUGAUGAUGUACGUGCAUUUGUGUGUAUGAAUAUAUCAGAGUGGAUGUGCUCAUGGGACUUGGGCUUAGUUGUCAUGUGAGGUGGUAGAUGCAUUUUAGAAGUUCGUCCCCCUCCGCUCUUUCCUCAAAGUGCUUCUCCUGUGGGAAUUUCAACUCCCAAAGUGAUAUUUUCCACAGCCCUGUUUUCAUGAUUUAGCCUCUUUUCUGUAAACAAUUUACUGUAAUAAAGUGUGAACAUCAGGGCUGUGUAGGAAGGUGUUAGUUUUUUGGGUCUAAAAUGAGUGGCGUCUCUUCUAAUGAGGGGCAGCUGAGUGGUACCAUAUGUUCCUAAGUUUUGAAAUUAGUUGAUCCACCCGUUUAAACGACUUGUCAUUUUUCUAUUUUGUUCAUGCUUUCAGUUCCCUGAACUAUAAGCUUGAUUAUUAUGGAAUGAUCUUCGUUCUUUUACCCAGGUCCUUUAUUCAAAGCUAUUAAUGUGAUAUUCAGCAGGUGCUGACAGACAUAAAGACCUCCUUGAAAAGAGCGAAGAUCAGAAGCUUGGCUCUCCAGGGGCUUGGCUCAUUAGCAAUUAUCCAUGGACUUAUACAUUAUGAGGGAACUCUGGGAACAUACAGAUCCCUAGCUCAACAAGAAACCUCAUUCAUCUAUCUGUUUGCUAAAAGCCCAUUAUAAAUACCUUUUUCUGCAGCAAAGAGAACUUUAGUAAUGGAAAAUAUAAGUAGCUGAUACCUGACUAGUAUCCACCAGUAGCACAAAUCACAAUCUUUCUGUCCUCAGAAAGCCUUUUUUUCUAGAUGUGGUGGGGAGACAUGUUAGUUUAUUCGUAAGACUGUAUAAAUUGAGAAGGGGGGCUUAAUUUUUAACCAAGGGGGGGGGACAUACAGGUAAGGGGACAUUAAUCAAUGCUCCAGGUCUCCUACCCCCCUUUCAGUCCAGCAGCAGGCAUAGUCAAACCAAGACAUGGUUGGGCUAUGAAUGCAACUCUUACCUGUGUACAAUGGGCUUCAUUCCAGCUACUAGAUUCCUACAGACAGACAUACAGUUGUAUCUCCAUUCGGGCAUGAAAGAGACACCAUCACUUUUCAAGGACAUAUUCUGGCAAAAGGAAGGUACAGAGCAAGGCCAGCUAGGGAGAAGCCAUGGUGUGGGGAGGACCAGGGAGAGAAACCUGGAGGGCUCCAUUUGGCUCCCACACCUGAGGUUCCUUGCCCCUGCUCAAGACAAGCUCAGGAUUAGGGCAGGUGAAGAGGGGAGAGGUCCAUGGCACAAAUGGGUAUGAAGUUUAGAUUAACUACACUUGGUGUCUGAUGCGAGAAUGGAGUGAACAUGUGCAGAACAGCUGUCCCAAUCACAUCUAGUUUGGUCCUUAAACAAUACAAUCUGUAACCCACACUGAGAUCUUAGGAUGAAGGGCAGGCAGCAAACAAACUGGUUUCUUUUGCUGCCAUUUGUAAAGCUAGUAAUAUUUAGUAAUUAUUUCUAAGUACGAUGUCUCAUUGCAGUAGCAUUUUCUGCCCCUACUAAAAUUUCAAGUAAAAAGCCCUUGUUGCACUUGUGCUUGUGUGUAGGAGCUAUACUCAAGGCUGGUUCCUUUCUGGUUUGGAAGUCCUUUCCUUUGUUGCUUUAGCUAAUUUCACUCUGAUAUGUAGCUAUAUUUAACACAUGGAAUUUCUGACCUAUCAGCAGAAAUGCUCUAGUUAUGAAGCAAAUGAAUCUUAAUGUGAGCAGCUAAAGAAGCUUUGAUUGUUUUUCCUGCUACUAGGCCAAGUCACUUAAGGAGAGGUUUACAAUACGGGGUUACAAUUCUCAUUAAAAUACAAGUUUGUGAAAGAUUAAAAGGUACCCUUUACUUUGAUCUGCGAAAGGGAAAAGGAAAAGGGUUUAUCAGCUUCAAGGGAUUUCGGGUUUGCUAUGGAGAAUUUAACAUAACCAUAAAUUUGUUUCAGUUGAAUACCGUGUUUUAAUGUACACGAAAUCAGACACAGGAAGUGUUGGGAGCAGAAAUUUGGAAAGAAGAAAGCAAAGAAGAAAGGAUCAACACUUUAACAUAGACGCAAAGGAGUUUUAACCUUCUAUAAUAAUAUUCCACAGUGUCUGUGGGCCUGUUUUCUUUGUGCUAGUGAGGGAGAUCCUUCAGAGAACCUCCCAGUUUCCACCUGAGAGACAGAUUUCCAAAUCCUCCUUUCCCAUUAGAAACUGGAGACCGGGACUAAGCCAUACCAUUGCUUUACAGCAGUGCCAUGUCAACAUCACAGAAGAAGGUAAGAGCCAAGAGGACCAAAAGAGGAAGAGGAAUCAGGGAUCCAGAGGAAGGAAGCUGGAGCUAGCUGUCAGCCAUUCAUCUGCAGACCUUAUUUGCAACCCUAUUUCCAAUCACAUGCACACCAUUUGAUAUGCAUUUUGCAAGUAUGUUUUAUACCCUGUGUAAAGGACAUUGUGGUGCAUUUUAUAUUUAGCUGUCUUUUGGUAUUGGAAAGAAGGCAGAAGAAAAUCCACAUUUCACUGGUGAUGGAAAUAUGAUCAACUAGCAUUCUGGAUUCAAAGAUCUGCACUGGGACUUGCAGAUCUGAUGGUUUAUGAUGCGCUAAGAACCCAGGAGGGCAGACCUGGCUUGCCCAUCUCCUCCACCCAUGUUCUGAUGAUUCACACCAUGUUGACCCACUCAUCCACAUUCAAAAAACUGGUCAGCAUAGUUUACUCUACAUGAGCUGGUGGAUGGAUUUCUGAAGCAGGGAGCCUUCUGUUCUCCAGGAAGCUCCCUGCACUUUUUACAAUUUUGCAAAUUCAAAUAGCUAAAGCUAAAGCAUCUUUAAUAAAAUAGCAACAGUAUUCCAGUUUCUAAAAUGUAUAGAAAAGAUUCACAAAAAAAGUGAAGAAAAUAAACAUUGGCUUUCAAGAGCAAAAAUAUUGUGGUCAUGG